GUGGGUCAUGGGACGGAUGUGGGA
rnacentral:piRNA from 1 species